rnacentral:rRNA from 1 species
UACAGAGGUCCCGAGCGUUGUUCGGAUUCAUUGGGCGUAAAGGGUGCGUAGGCGGCGGGGAAAGUCUGAUGUGAAAUCCUGGGGCUCAACCCUGGAACUGCAUUGGAUACUUCCUUGCUAGAGUACUGGAGAGGAAACUGGAAUUUACGGUGUAGCAGUGAAAUGCGUAGAGAUCGUAAGGAAGACCAGUGGCGAAGGCGGGUCUCUGGACAGUUCCUGACACUGAGGCACGAAGGCCAGGGGGAGUCAAACGGG